rnacentral:piRNA from 1 species
UGCUUACCCAGACCCACGCCAGCACUGCC